GACGUAGGAUGCAAGCGUUGUCCGGAUUUAUUGGGCGUAAAGAGUUCGUAGGUGGUUUGUUAAGUCUGAUGUUAAAGAUCGGGGCUCAACCCCGGGAGUGCAUUGGAUACUGGCAGACUCGAGUGUGGUAGAGGUAAGUGGAAUUCCCAGUGUAGCGGUGAAAUGCGUAGAUAUUGGGAAGAACACCAGUGGCGUAGGCGACUUACUGGGCCAUAACUGACACUGAGGAACGAAAGCCAGGGGAGCAAAUGGG
rnacentral:rRNA from 1 species